GACAGAGGGGGCAAGCGUUGCUCGGAAUUACUGGGCGUAAAGGGCGCGUAGGCGGGAUGGCAAGUCGGUCGUGAAAUCCUUCGGCUCAACCGAAGAACGUCGAUCGAUACUGCUGUUCUAGAGGGUUGCAGAGGAGACUGGAAUUCCCGGUGUAGCGGUGAAAUGUGUAGAGAUCGGGAGGAACACCGGUGGCGAAGGCGGGUCUCUGGGCAACUCCUGACGCUGAGGCGCGAAAGCGUGGGGAGCAAACGGG
rnacentral:rRNA from 1 species